AGAGUUUGAUCCUGGCUCAGGACGAACGCUGGCGGCGUGCCUAAUACAUGCAAGUCGAGCGGACAGAUGGGAGCUUGCUCCCUGAUGUUAGCGGCGGACGGGUGAGUAACACGUGGGUAACCUGCCUGUAAGACUGGGAUAACUCCGGGAAACCGGGGCUAAUACCGGAUGGUUGUUUGAACCGCAUGGUUCAAACAUAAAAGGUGGCUUCGGCUACCACUUACAGAUGGACCCGCGGCGCAUUAGCUAGUUGGUGAGGUAACGGCUCACCAAGGCAACGAUGCGUAGCCGACCUGAGAGGGUGAUCGGCCACACUGGGACUGAGACACGGCCCAGACUCCUACGGGAGGCAGCAGUAGGGAAUCUUCCGCAAUGGACGAAAGUCUGACGGAGCAACGCCGCGUGAGUGAUGAAGGUUUUCGGAUCGUAAAGCUCUGUUGUUAGGGAAGAACAAGUACCGUUCGAAUAGGGCGGUACCUGGACG
rnacentral:rRNA from 3 species